rfam:Caenorhabditis remanei strain PB4641 contig93.6, whole genome shotgun sequence.
ACUCCUCGGUCGGAUCGGACCUACACUGGUUUUCGCUGCGGUGAUACUUCGAGAAUGAUUAUCACCGGGUGAAAAUCAGGGCAGGUCCGAUUCCACCGA